rnacentral:rRNA from 1 species
GGUUAAGCGACUAAGCGUACACGGUGGAUGCCCUGGCAGUCAGAGGCGAUGAAGGACGUGCUAAUCUGCGAUAAGCGUCGGUAAGGUGAUAUGAACCGUUAUAACCGGCGAUUUCCGAAUGGGGAAACCCAGUGUGAUUCGUCACACUAUCGUUAACUGAAUACAUAGGUUAACGAAGCGAACCGGGGGAACUGAAACAUCUAAGUACCCCGAGGAAAAGA